rnacentral:rRNA from 1 species
CAGUAGCCGCGGUAAUACGUGGGGUGCGAGCGUUAAUCGGAAUUACUGGGCGUAAAGCGUGCGCAGGCGGUUAUAUAAGACAGAUGUGAAAUCCCCGGGCUCAACCUGGGGCCUGCAUUUGUGACUGUAUAGCUAGAGUACGGUAGAUGGGGAUGGAAUUCCGCGUGUAGCAGUGAAAUGCGUAGAUAUGCGGAGGAACACCGAUGGCGAAGGCAAUCCCCUGGACCUGUACUGACGCUCAUGCACGAAAGCGUGGGGAGCAAACAGGAUUAGAUACCCCCGUAGUCCCUGUCUCUUAUAC